rnacentral:rRNA from 1 species
UACGAGAGGCCCAAACGUUAUUCGGAUUUACUGGGCUUAAAGAGUUCGUAGGCGGCACGGAAAGUGGGGUGUGAAAUCCCUCGGCUUAACCGAGGAACUGCGCUCCAAACUAUCGUGCUAGAGGGGGAUAGAGGUAAGCGGAACUGAUGGUGGAGCGGUGAAAUGCGUUGAUAUCAUCAGGAACACCGGAGGCGAAGGCGGCUUACUGGGUCCUUUCUGACGCUGAGGAACGAAAGCUAGGGGAGCAAACGGG